rnacentral:rRNA from 1 species
GUCCACGCCCUAAACGAUGAUUACUCUACAUACGCGAUAUACAGUGUGUGUCUGAGCGAAAGCAUUAAGUAAUCCACCUGGGAAGUACGAUCGCAAGAUUGAAACUCAAAGGAAUUGGCGGGGGUCCGCACAAGCGGUGGAGAAUGUGGUUUAAUUCGAUGAUACGCGAGGAACCUUACCUGGGCUAGAAUGUGGCGUGACGGAUGGUGAAAGCUGUCUUCCUGGCAACAGGCGCGUCAUAAGGUGCUGCAUGGCUGUCGU